CAGCAGUAGCCGCGGGAAUACGAAGGGGGCUAGCGUUGUUCGGAUUUACUGGGCGUAAAGGGCGCGUAGGCGGGCGAAUAAGUCAGGGGUGAAAUCCCAAGGCUCAACCUUGGAACUGCCUUUGAUACUGUUUGUCUUGAGUUCGAGAGAGGUAAGUGGAACUGCGAGUGUAGAGGUGAAAUUCGUAGAUAUUCGCAAGAACACCAGUGGCGAAGGCGGCUUACUGGCUCGAAACUGACGCUGAGGCGCGAAAGCGUGGGGAGCAAACAGGAUUAGAUACCCGCGUAGUCCCUGUCUCUUAUAC
rnacentral:rRNA from 1 species